CACAUCUAGGAGAAAGACUCUUCCUAGAGUAUCCUUUCACAAUCUCCUGGGCCAAAAGAGUAUUAUCAACAAUAUUCCUCCCCUUGACAAAAGCUGACUGGUUAUGGGAUAUCAUAUCAGGGAAUAUAGAAGAAAAACG